CGACGUUCUUGGGGCGAGGUGUAACUCCUCACCGGCGGUGAUGAAAUAGAAAUAUUUCUAAGCCCGUGAGCGCUUAUGUUAGUAAUAACAUAAGGUCAAGCAGAUUUCGGUGUAAUUCCGAAGCCGACGGUCAUAGUCCGGAUGAGAAAGAACGUGC
rnacentral:ncRNA from 2 species